rnacentral:tRNA from 1 species
GGCCCUGUCGAAUACUGGCUAGUUCGCCAGCCUCUCACGCUGGAAAACCGGGAUCGAUACCCGGCAGGGUCACCA